UGCUGCAUGGCCGUCGUCCAGCUCGUGCCGUGAGGUGUGGGUUAAGUCCCGCAACGAGCGCAACCCCGCCGUUAGUGCCAGCGGUUCGGCCGGGCACUCUAACGGGACUGCCCGCGAAAGCGGGAGGAAGGAGGGGACGACGUCUGGUCAGCAUGGCCCUUACGGCCUGGGCGACACACGUGCUACAAUGCCCACUACAAAGCGAUGCCACCCGGCAACGGGGAGCUAAUCGCAAAAAGGUGGGCCCAGUUCGGAUUGGGGUCUGCAACCCGACCCCAUGAAGCCGGAAUCGCUAGUAAUCGCGGAUCAGCCAUGCCGCGGUGAAUACGUUCCCGGGCCUU
rnacentral:rRNA from 1 species